GUGCUUGCUUCAGCAGCACAUAUACUAAAAUUGAAACGAUAGAGAAAUCAGCAUGGCCCCUGAGCAAGGAUGACAUGCAAAUUCAUGAAGCAUUUCAUAUUUUU
rnacentral:snRNA from 1 species